UACAGAGGUCUCAAGCGUUGUUCGGAUUCAUUGGGCGUAAAGGGUGCGUAGGCGGCGCGGUAAGUCGGGUGUGAAAUCUCGGGGCUUAACUCCGAAACUGCAUUCGAUACUGCCGUGCUUGAGGACUGGAGAGGAGACUGGAAUUUACGGUGUAGCGGUGAAAUGCGUAGAUAUCGUAAGGAAGACCAGUGGCGAAGGCGAGUCUCUGGACAGUUGCUGACACUGAGGCACGAAGGCCAGGGGAGCAAACGGG
rnacentral:rRNA from 1 species